rnacentral:rRNA from 1 species
ACGGGGGGUGCGAGCGUUGUUCGGAAUUAUUGGGCGUAAAGAGCGUGUAGGCGGCUGAAUAAGUCAGAUGUGAAAUCCCUGGGCUUAACCCAGGACGUGCAUUUGAAACUAUUCGGCUAGAGUAGGGAAGAGGAGAGUGGAAUUCCUGGUGUAGAGGUGAAAUGCGUAGAUAUCAGGAAGAACACCGGUGGCGAAGGCGGCUCUCUGGGACGGUACUGACGCUGAGACGCGAAAGCGUGGGGAGCAAACAG